CACUGCCGCCGGCGCCGCUCCUCCUCCGUGUCAGUUGUUGAGCUGUAAUGGCGACUGGGCCGCCGCUGCCGAAGUGACUCCCGGGCGGGGGAGUGGGACCUGCGCCUGAGAGGACUGCGGAGAGCCGCAGCUCGGGAGGGGGCUCGCGGCGGGGCGGAGGAGGCCGCCUCUGCGCCUCUCCUUCCUUCCCUGCCGCCCGGCGAAUCCCGGGAGCCGGGGCGAGGCGGGUACCCGGUGCGUCCCCGGAGCGGGGAGGCCAGGCCGGGCAGCCCUGGGGCCGGUCGGGGCGGCGUCACUGCACCCUCCGCCAGGCCCCGCGGGAUGCACCGUGGGAGCCGAGGGCGGAGGCGACACUCUCAGGUAAAUUGGCAAGAUGAGGAGCAGCAAGUCAAAAGAGGUGCCUUUACCCAAUCCAAGGAACUCUCAAAGCAAGG
rnacentral:lncRNA from 1 species